UACGUAGGGUGCGAGCGUUAAUCGGAAUUACUGGGCGUAAAGCGUGCGCAGGCGGUUCGUUGUGUCGGUGGUGAAAGCCCCGGGCUUAACCUGGGAAUGGCCAUGGAAACUGGCGAACUGGAGUGUGGCAGAGGGGGGUGGAAUUCCUGGUGUAGCGGUGAAAUGCGCAGAUAUCAGGAGGAACACCGAUGGCGAAGGCAGGUCUCUGGGCAUUAACUGACGCUGAGGAGCGAAAGCAUGGGGAGCGAACAGG
rnacentral:rRNA from 1 species